GGAAGCAGCUUGCUUGCUUCGCUGACGAGUGGCGGACGGGUGAGUAAUGUCUGGGAAACUGCCUGAUGGAGGGGGAUAACUACUGGAAACGGUAGCUAAUACCGCAUAACGUCGCAAGACCAAAGAGGGGGACCUUCGGGCCUCUUGCCAUCGGAUGUGCCCAGAUGGGAUUAGCUUGUAGGUGGGGUAACGGCUCACCUAGGCGACGAUCCCUAGCUGGUCUGAGAGGAUGACCAGCCACACUGGAACUGAGACACGGUCCAGACUCCUACGGGAGGCAGCAGUGGGGAAUAUUGCACAAUGGGCGCAAGCCUGAUGCAGCCAUGCCGCGUGUAUGAAGAAGGCCUUCGGGUUGUAAAGUACUUUCAGCGGGGAGGAAGGGAGUAAAGUUAAUACCUUUGCUCAUUGACGUUACCCGCAGAAGAAGCACCGGCUAACUCCGUGCCAGCAGCCGCGGUAAUACGGAGGGUGCAAGCGUUAAUCGGAAUUACUGGGCGUAAAGCGCACGCAGGCGGUUUGUUAAGUCAGAUGUGAAAUCCCCGGGCUCAACCUGGGAACUGCAUCUGAUACUGGCAAGCUUGAGUCUC
rnacentral:rRNA from 1 species